AUUGAACGCUGGCGGCAUGCCUUACACAUGCAAGUCGAACGGCAGCACGGGAGCAAUCCUGGUGGCGAGUGGCGAACGGGUGAGUAAUAUAUCGGAACGUGCCCAGUCGUGGGGAUAACGUAGCGAAAGCUACGCUAAUACCGCAUACGAUCUAUGGAUGAAANCGGGGGAUCGCAAGACCUCGCGCGAUUGGAGCGGCCGAUAUCAGAUUAGGUAGUUGGUGAGGUAAAGGCUCACCAAGCCGACGAUCUGUAGCUGGUCUGAGAGGACGACCAGCCACACUGGGACUGAGACACGGCCCAGACUCCACGGGAGGCAGCAGUGGGGAAUUUGGACAAUGGGCGCAAGCCUGAUCCAGCAAUGCGC
rnacentral:rRNA from 1 species